AAUUGUUUGGCUGAAGAAACCUGCGUAACUUAUACUGAUGGUAAGGUUAUUCAAGAUCUCUGCCUCAGAUUAAGAAAUGUGGAAUGUGGUGAAGUGGAAAUCCAACUCCAAUGGAUUGACCUUCCUGGUUCCAAGGGUUUAUAAAAAGCUAUCAAUUUUCUCUUCUUUUUUUUUUUUUCAUUUUAUCUGCUUCUUUGUUGCUUGUGAUGAGUGGGGGCGCUGGUUUCAAGCACCCACCACUAGUUGUAGUGCUAGUUUUGAUUCAUAGUGGGGUUGAUUUGCUUUGUUUAGAGGGCUGAUUUACAAGCUGACCUUGUAAUGUGUAUUUAUUUCUUUUCUCUGUAUGAGGAGCUCAGCUCUA
rnacentral:misc_RNA from 1 species